rnacentral:lncRNA from 1 species
AAAAUGCACAUACAUUUACGAAUGCAAACUUCGAUUAUCAAAGAAAAUAGAUUAGCUUCUCCUAGUUUCGGAAGACGAAGAAUGUGUAUGCAACAUAAUAUUGUAUUAAGUUCUUUUUGGGGCUAUUUUAUGUCACAAGGGGGCGCUAAAAUCUCGUAACGUUACUCUUAUGGGGCUUUGCCUUGAACAAAUAAUGACAUUGAAGAGACAAGAUAGUUUCAGCAGGCGUGUCAUGACUCAUAAUCAUGAGAUAUUUCUAGCAAUGGGAGGAUGGAUGGAUUCAUAUCCAUAUAGCUCCUUAGGAGAGAUCCGUCUAAAUGACUAUGAAUGAGACAUGUUUUCGAUGCAGUUCCUACUCCCUUCUUCUCUCACCUCUUUCCUUCUGUUGAGUAAUGAAUUCAAAGUACACGCGUCUAAAGGUUUUAAUAAUCAAAAAGAAGUUUUAAGUCUCCCUUUAUAUGGUCUUAGCCUAAAUGCAGGUUCUGCAUUCUCAAAUGCUAUUAUUUGUAAAUGAAAACAAUACAAAUAAUAGGUGGUCCAGAUAAAUGGGGAAUAAUUGCAAUCGCUUAUAUCUCGGCUUCUAUAGGUCAUGAAUUACUCGAUAAAGAUAAUAAUAGAUCCUAAUAUUCAUUCAUGGAUAGGCUGUGUGAUAAAAUUCCUUAAGUUCCGAAUAGUUGGUUGUGUUGUUAGUAAAUACUAAACAAUAAUUUUUUUGGAAAAAGUCUGUCGACAUUUAGAGAUGGACAAGAUCCGUAAUAUGCGAGUUGCGUCGAGCGGGAUUAACUCCGAAUGAGAUUAUCAAGCGUCUCAAGUAGUCAAAAAGUACGGUUUAUCGGAUUUGUGAUGAAUUUGACGCCGAGGGGAAGACACAUAGGAAACAUCACAAAUUGAGAGCCGACAAAAAACGAUCGCCCAGGUUCGUAGCAGAGCUCAAAAAAGAUCGAUGAAAAUCUGACCACUCCCAUUGCCAAGCUUGCAAAGAGAUCCAUCAAGAGAGCCAUCCGUGUCGACCUAGGAUAUCUCUCUAGUGUCAGGUCUCCCAAACAGCUCAUAACUGAGGACAACAAGGCCAAGAAGGAUGACACAAAAACAAGUGCAAAGUCUAAAAAGUCAUCUGUCAAAGCUUAGAAGAAGUAGAAACCAUUUUGAAAUUUAAAUUCAUAUAUUAAUUCUCUUUAGACUUUUGUCAGUGAACCUACAUAUUUAUCCGUGUACAGUUUUUAUUUCAUUUUAUUAUUAUUUAGUGUCUUAUAUUUUUUUUAAAUAACUAUUUUAUAAUUUAUGUACAAGUUAGAUUUAUUUUUUAUAGUGACAAAUUUAAGUUGCAAAAACAAGUUUGAAAAAUUUACAUAUUUACCUCAUAAAUAAAAGGGAUAUUGGUGUUA